rnacentral:rRNA from 1 species
CCUACGGGAGGCAGCAGUGGGGAAUAUUGCACAAUGGGGGAAACCCUGAUGCAGCGACGCCGCGUGAGUGAAGAAGUAUUUCGGUAUGUAAAGCUCUAUCAGCAGGGAAGAAAAUGAUGGUACCUGAUCAAGAAGCCCCGUCUAACUACGUGCCAGCAGCCGCGGUAACACGUAGGGGGCAGCCGUUAUCCGGAGUUACCGGGUGUAAAGGGAGCGUAGACGGCAGCACAAGUCUGGAGUGAAAUGCCGGGGCUUAACCCCGGAACUGCUUUGGAAACUGGGCGGCUAGAGUGCGGGAGAGGUAAGUGGAAUGCGUGGUGUAGCGGUGAAAUGCGUAGAUAUUGGGAAGAACACCGGUGGCGAAGGCAGCUUGCUGGCCUGUAACUGACGUUGAGGCUCGAAAGCGUGGGGAGCGAACAGGAUUAGAUACCCCAGUAGUC